UACAGAGGUCUCAAGCGUUGUCCGGAUUUAUUGGGCGUAAAGAGCGUGUAGGCGGCCUGGUAGGUCAGCUGUGAAAACUCGAGGCUCAACCUCGAGACGCCGGUUGAAACCAUCAGGCUAGAGUCCGGAAGAGGAGAGUGGAAUUCCCGGUGUAGUGGUGAAAUGCGUAGAUAUCGGGGAGGAACACCAGUGGCGAAGGCGACUUCCUGGCCUGUUCUUGACGCUGAGGCGCGAAAGCUAGGGUAGCAAACGGG
rnacentral:rRNA from 1 species